rnacentral:rRNA from 1 species
GGCUAACGCUGGCGGCGUGUCUUAGCCAUGCAAGUCGAGCGGGCCUGUGGGUUUACCUACAGGUCAGCGGCGGACGGCGGAGUAACACGUAGCUAACCUACCCCCUGGACGGGGAUAACCACUCGAAAGGGUGGCUAAUACCCGAUGGAGUCCCUAUCUGAGAUGGUAGGGAUGAAAGGUGGGCCUCUGCGGAAGCAAGCUCAUGCCGGGGGAGGGGGCUGUGGCCUAUCAGGUAGUUGGUGGGGUAAUGGCCCACCAAGCCUAUGACGGGUAGCCGGCCUGAGAGGGUGACCGGCCCGAGGGGCACUGAGACACGGGCCCCACUCCUACGGGAGGCAGCAGGCUAGAAAAUUGGGCAAUGGGGGAAACCCUGACCCAGUGACGCCGCGUGCAGGAAGAAGCCCUUCGGGGUGUAAACUGCUGUCGUGCGGGGCGAAGGGUCCAUAGGCGAAUAGCUUAUGGGCUUGACGGUACCGCAGGAGGAAGCCCAGGCUAACCUCGUGCCAGCAGCCGCGGUAAUACGGGGUGGGCGAGCGUUGCCCGGAAUUACUGGGUUUAAAGGGGGUGUAGGCGGUCCGGAGAGUCAGGUGUGUAAUCCAACCGCUCAACGGUUGGGCUGCACCUGAUACUUCCGGGCUAGAGGGCGGUAGAGGAGAGCGGAACUCCCGGUGUAGCGGUGAAAUGCGUAGAUAUCGGGAGGAACGCCGGUGGCGAAAGCGGCUCUCUGGGCCGUUCCUGACGCUGAGGCCCGAAAGCUGGGGGAGCGAAAG